rnacentral:lncRNA from 1 species
CCCGUGGUAAAAUAUUUUUAUGAAUCAUCGAAAAGAAAAGAAUGCAUUCAAUAAUGUAAAAACAAAGAAAUUGAUCAACACAUUUUUACACUAGUUAAACUGUGGCAUCUUCCGGGAUCACGAGCAUCUGCAAUCUGUGCCAAUUCUUCUGUUUCUGCUAACACUUCAACAUCAACCAAAAUUAGAUCUGCCUUGAUCCAACACCAGGCUCUUGUUUCAAACUAUAAAUUUCCUAUGUCAGUCAAAAGUUUUGAUACCUUGACUGGUUACAGAUUCAAAUUCUCAAACUUCUGUCCAUUCAAAGUUCUCUCCAUGUUCUCUAUACUUUAUAGCAUAUCCAACAAUUGCCUCAGCCAAUGGAUGCUCACUAUUUACCUAAAUAGAACCAAGUGACAGUUAUCAGUCUCAUAUGUUAGUAUGGACAAAUCAAGUUGUUCCUCUUGAUAAAAGAUUCUAGUUAAUAAAAAUUGGUAUAAACUGAUCUAGAGGUAUAUUGUGCCACUACUUUUAGCUGGAUACUAUGUGACAUAUGCAAGAUCACAGAGAAAAACUUCAUAGAUUAGAUGUCUAUAAAACUAGCAGCGCAAGACUAGCAUAAGAAACAAAGUGAUAGAAGUUGAUCAAUCUCAUCUCCGUUCAAUAAUAAAAGCUUUACCAUAUCGACAUGAUUUUCUUAUAUUGCAACGUGGAUAACAGUUGAUCUAUGUUGAUCUUUUGAGUUAACAAGUAAUCCAUGUUUAAAUAGAUGCCCAAUGGUACAUGAUUUCAAAUAUGGGAUGGUGUUUUGCUGCUAUAGCUUCCCAUAAUGCGGUGUCACCAUUUAUAUAUGUUAUUAAUGGAAUAAAUAAUUAAGAACUCAUAUAACACUUGGCCUGUCAAAAAAUUUAACUUAAUUUUACAGUGACAUUUAUUGAGAUUGUCAUACCUUGUAAGUGUAUGUUACAUCCUGACUGAGAAGCACCAUUACACGUUCUU